rnacentral:rRNA from 1 species
GGGGCAACCCUGGUGGCGAGUGGCGAACGGGUGAGUAAUACAUCGGAACGUGUCCUGUAGUGGGGGAUAGCCCGGCGAAAGCCGGAUUAAUACCGCAUACGCUCUACGGAGGAAAGGGGGGGAUCUUAGGACCUCCCGCUACAGGGGCGGCCGAUGGCAGAUUAGCUAGUUGGUGGGGUAAAGGCCUACCAAGGCGACGAUCUGUAGCUGGUCUGAGAGGACGACCAGCCACACUGGGACUGAGACACGGCCCAGACUCCUACGGGAGGCAGCAGUGGGGAAUUUUGGACAAUGGGGGAAACCCUGAUCCAGCAAUGCCGCGUGUGUGAAGAAGGCCUUCGGGUUGUAAAGCACUUUUGUCCGGAAAGAAAACUUCGGGGUUAAUACCNCUGGAGGAUGACGGUACCGGAAGAAUAAGCACCGGCUAACUACGUGCCAGCAGCCGCGGUAAUACGUAGGGUGCAAGCGUUAAUCGGAAUUACUGGGCGUAAAGCGUGCGCAGGCGGUUCGUUAAGACAGAUGUGAAAUCCCCGGGCUUAACCUGGGAACUGCAUUUGUGACUGGCGGGCUAGAGUAUGGCAGAGGGGGGUAGAAUUCCACGUGUAGCAGUGAAAUGCGUAGAGAUG